rnacentral:rRNA from 1 species
UGGGGAAUAUUGCACAAUGGGCGCAAGCCUGAUGCAGCCAUGCCGCGUGUGUGAAGAAGGCCUUCGGGUUGUAAAGCACUUUCAGCGGGGAGGAAGGCGUUAAGGUUAAUAACCUUGGCGAUUGACGUUACCCGCAGAAGAAGCACCGGCUAACUCCGUGCCAGCAGCCGCGGUAAUACGGAGGGUGCAAGCGUUAAUCGGAAAUACUGGGCGUAAAGCGCACGCAGGCGGUCUGUCAAGUCGGAUGUGAAAUCCCCGGGCUCAACCUGGGAACUGCAUUCGAAACUGGCAGGCUAGAGUCUUGUAGAGGGGGGUAGAAUUCCAGGUGUAGCGGUGAAAUGCGUAGAGAUCUGGAGGAAUACCGGUGGCGAAGGCGGCCCCCUGGACAAAGACUGACGCUCAGGUGCGAAAGCGUGGGGAGCAAACAGG